rnacentral:rRNA from 1 species
AGAGUUUGAUCCUGGCUCAGGACGAACGCUGGCGGCGUGCUUAACACAUGCAAGUCGAACGAGAAGAGAUGAGAAGCUUGCUUCUUUCAAAUCUAGUGGCAAACGGGUGAGUAACACGUAAACAACCUGCCUUCAGGAUGGGGACAACAGACGGAAACGACUGCUAAUACCGAAUACGUUCCUUAGGUCGCAUGACUUUAGGAAGAAAGGGUGGCCUCUACUUGUAAGCUAUCGCCUGAAGAGGGGUUUGCGUCUGAUUAGGUAGUUGGUGAGGUAAUGGCCCACCAAGCCGACGAUCAGUAGCCGGUCUGAGAGGAUGAACGGCCACACUGGAACUGAGACACGGUCCAGACUCCUACGGGAGGCAGCAGUGGGGAAUCUUCCGCAAUGGGCGAAAGCCUGACGGAGCAACGCCGCGUGAGUGAUGACGGCCUUCGGGUUGUAAAGCUCUGUGAUCGGGGACGAACGGUCAGCAGACGAAUACUCUGCUGAAGUGACGGUACCCGAAUAGCAAGCCACGGCUAACUACGUGCCAGCAGCCGCGGUAAUACGUAGGUGGCAAGCGUUGUCCGGAAUUAUUGGGCGUAAAGCGCGCGCAGGCGGCUUCUUAAGUCCAUCUUAAAAGGUGCGGGGGCUUAACCCCGUGAUGGGAAUGGAAACUGAGAGGCUGGAAUAUUCGAAAAAGAAAGUUGAAUUUCCUAGGGUAGCGGGGAAAAUGGGUAAAGAUUAAGGAAAAACCCAGUGGGCAAAGGGCCCUUCUCUGGGACGGAACUGAACCCUAAGGCUCCAAAAGCGGGGG